rnacentral:ncRNA from 1 species
AGACAUUGCUCUGCGCAUGGUGGUCAGCUUGGGACAAUCCGGCCGACCUUAAAAGGGAACACGGUGAGGUGUAGCCAUCAGGCGCCAACUCCGUGACUGCCCCCGCAACUGUAAGCGGCGAGCCUCCCCAAAAGCCACUGGGUUUGAAACCCGGGAAGGUUGGGACAGGCGCUAACCCGUGAGUCAGGAGACCUGCCAUGUCAUCUGAAACGAAU